rnacentral:rRNA from 1 species
GACGAACGCUGGCGGCACGCUUAACACAUGCAAGUCGAACGAGAGAAGAGAAGCUUGCUUUUCUGAUCUAGUGGCGGACGGGUGAGUAACACGUGAGCAAUCUGCCUUUCAGAGGGGGAUACCGAUUGGAAACGAUCGUUAAUACCGCAUAAUAUAAUUGAACCGCAUGAUUUGAUUAUCAAAGAUUUAUCGCUGAAAGAUGAGCUCGCGUCUGAUUAGCUAGUUGGUAAGGUAACGGCUUACCAAGGCGACGAUCAGUAGCCGGACUGAGAGGUUGAUCGGCCACAUUGGGACUGAGACACGGCCCAG